AAUUCAGCAGCAUUUUAGUGCAAAUUUAUCCUAAAAACACAUUUUUGUAUGAUUUUGACACACACAGUCAAAACCAUACAAAAUGUGUUUUUUAGGAGAAACAUGCACUAAAAUGCUGCUGGAUU